GGCACCGUGGCUUAGUUGGUUAAAGCGCCUGUGUAGUGAGCAACACAUCGAGGGUUCAGAUCCUUCCGGUACCU